AACGAACGCUGGCGGCAUGCCUAACACAUGCAAGUCGAACGAGACCUUCGGGUCUAGUGGCGCACGGGUGCGUAACGCGUGGGAACCUGCCCUUAGGUUCGGAAUAACUCCCCGAAAGGGGUGCUAAUACCGGAUAAUGUCUUCGGACCAAAGAUUUAUCGCCUUUGGAUGGGCCCGCGUUGGAUUAGCUAGUUGGUAGGGUAAAAGCCUACCAAGGCGACGAUCCAUAGCUGGUCUGAGAGGAUGAUCAGCCACACUGGGACUGAGACUCGGCCCAGACUCCUACGGGAGGCAGCAGUGGGGAAUAUUGGACAAUGGGCGAAAGCCUGAUCCAGCAAUGCCGCGUGAGUGAUGAAGGCCUUAGGGUUGUAAAGCUCUUUUACCCGGGAUGAUAAUGACAGUACCGGGAGAAUAAGCUCCGGCUAACUCCAUG
rnacentral:rRNA from 1 species